UUUUUAAUUAAUUUUUUCAUCAAUGUGCCAGUAAACAAACGGAGAAAUACUUCCCAAACACUUAGGAAACUUUUAGACAUCUUAAUGCUGCACAGUAAUGUUGGGCUGAUGAAAAGGUUUGUUGACUGAGAUUUAUGAAGUCUAUCAAGCAAUCAAUCUGGUUUGAGGCAGAAAUAGGGAUGUCUUCCUGAAGUAAAAGCCAAGAAGGUAUCAUGCAACAUCAAUGACAACACAGAGGAGUUUAAGAGAUUCAGCUAUAUUAAAACAUAAUUUACUGGACCCUCCACAAGUAUCAGUCUAGCAGCCACAGUCCUCACAGAACAUCAACUCUGCCCUAGUUUCAACAGAGCUAUGUAGAGUUGGAGUGGGCCGGUGGUAACUGAAAUCUAUAUUAAAAAAUAAAUCAGUUUACUGUGGUAUUGGGCAUAUGUUUGGUUUUAAAAUAAAAAUUAAUGCUGGCAUUUUUAUGGAAAAUACGUCCUAUUGUCCUCAGCCACAUUUCACACAGUCAGUAAUCAUUAUCUUUGCUAAUAUCAAAAUGAAACUAGAAUUACAUUACUGCGGAAUUUGGCCUCCUUGUCAGAAAGGAAUGCUUGUGGACAGGAAGUGUCACAGCAAUGGAACAAAUAACUCAAUAGAACUCUCUCUCACACACACACACACACACACACACACACACACACACACACACACACACACACACACACACACACACACACACACACACACACACAUACACGUUAGUUGUUUCUUGGUUGGCAUGACUUAUAGGACUUAACACAAAUUGCUCACUGCUGCUACUGGCAGUUUAAAAAGUCCCUUAUCCCUGAAUAUUUUGUAUAAGACUUCAUGUUUAGAAAUGUCCUUUCAGAAAUGACCAAACUGAACACAGGGAAAUUUUACGCUGAUUCAAAAGCUUCCACAUCAUGUAGACAUGUCACAGAUUA